rnacentral:rRNA from 1 species
UCCAGACUCCUACGGGAGGCAGCAGUGGGGGAUAUUGCACAAUGGGGGGAACCCUGAUGCAGCGACGCCGCGUGGGUGAAGGAGCGUUUCGGCGCGUAAAGCCCUAUCGGCAGGGAAGAAGGAGGACGGUACCUGACUAAGAAGCCCCGGCUAACUACGUGCCAGCAGCCGCGGUAAUACGUAGGGGGCAAGCGUUAUCCGGAUUUACUGGGUGUAAAGGGGGCGCAGACGGCGGCGCAAGCCAGGAGUGAAAGCCCGGGGCCCAACCCCGGGACUGCUCUUGGAACUGCGCGGCUGGAGUGCAGGAGGGGCAGGCGGAAUUCCUGGUGUAGCGGUGAAAUGCGUAGAUAUCAGGAGGAACACCGGUGGCGAAGGCGGCCUGCUGGACUGCGACUGACGUUGAGGCCCGAAAGCGUGGGGAGCAAACAGGAUUAGAUACCCCAGUAC